UACGUAGGGGCCUAGCGUUGUCCGGAAUUAUUGGGCGUAAAGAGCUCGUAGGCGGUUCGGCAAGUCGGAUGUGAAAUCUCCACGCUUAACGUGGAGGGGCCAUUCGAAACUGCUGUGACUCGAGUCCGGUAGGGGAGUGUGGAAUUCCCGGUGUAGCGGUGAAAUGCGCAGAUAUCGGGAGGAACACCAGUAGCGAAAGCGGCGCACUGGACCACUUCUGACGCUGAGGCGCGAAAGCUAGGGGAGCAAACAGG
rnacentral:rRNA from 1 species